GUGGCGCAGCUAACGCAUUAAGUUAUCCGCCUGGGGAGUACGGCCGCAAGGUUAAAACUCAAAGGAAUUGACGGGGGCCUGCACAAGCGAGCAUGUGGUUUAAUUCGAAGCAACGCGCAGAACCUUACCAGCGUUUGACAUGGUAGGACGACUUCCAGAGAUGGAUUUCUUCCCUUCGGGGACCUACACACAGGUGCUGCAUGGCUGUCGUCAGCUCGUGUCGUGAGAUGUUGGGUUAAGUCCCGCAACGAGCGCAACCCUCGACUUUAGUUACCAUCAUUAAGUUGGGUACUUUAAAGUAACCGCCGGUGAUAAGCCGGAGGAAGGUGGGGAUGACGUCAAGUCCUCAUGGCCCUUACGCGCUGGGCUACACACGUGCUACAAUGGCAAGUACAGUGGCGCAAUCCCGCGAGGGUGAGCUAAUCUCCAAAACUUGUCUCAGUUCGGAUUGUUCUCUGCAACUCGAGAGCAUGAAGGCGGAAUCGCAGAAUG
rnacentral:rRNA from 1 species